UAGAGUUUGAUCCUGGCUCAGGAUGAACGCUGGCGGCGUGCUUAACACAUGCAAGUCGAACGAACCUUCGGGUUAGUGGCGGACGGGUGAGUAACGCGUGGGAAUCUGCCCUCAGGAGGGGGAUAACGGCUGGAAACGGCCGCUAAUACCCCAUAUGCCGAGAGGUGAAAUGAAUUUCGCCUGAGGAUGAGCCCGCGUCUGAUUAGCUAGUUGGUGAGGUAAGAGCUCACCAAGGCAUCGAUCAGUAGCUGGUCUGAGAGGAUGAUCAGCCACACUGGGACUGAGACACGGCCCAGACUCCUACGGGAGGCAGCAGUGGGGAAUUUUCCGCAAUGGGCGAAAGCCUGACGGAGCAACGCCGCGUGAGGGAUGAAGGCCUCUGGGCUGUAAACCUCUUUUCUCAAGGAAGAAGAUCUGACGGUACUUGAGGAAUAAGCCACGGCUAAUUCCGUGCCAGCAGCCGCGGUAAUACGGGAGUGGCAAGCGUUAUCCGGAAUUAUUGGGCGUAAAGCGUCCGCAGGCGGCCUUUCAAGUCUGCUGUUAAAACGUGGAGCUUAACUCCAUCAUGGCAGUGGAAACUGUUGGGCUUGAGUGUGGUAGGGGCAGAGGGAAUUCCCGGUGUAGCGGUGAAAUGCGUAGAUAUCGGGAAGAACACCAGUGGCGAAGGCGCUCUGCUGGGCCAUAACUGACGCUCAUGGACGAAAGCCAGGGGAGCGAAAGGGAUUAGAUACCCCUGUAGUCCUGGCCGUAAACGAUGAACACUAGGUGUCGGGGGAAUCGACCCCCUCGGUGUCGUAGCCAACGCGUUAAGUGUUCCGCCUGGGGAGUACGCACGCAAGUGUGAAACUCAAAGGAAUUGACGGGGGCCCGCACAAGCGGUGGAGUAUGUGGUUUAAUUCGAUGCAACGCGAAGAACCUUACCAGGGUUUGACAUCCUGCGAAUCUCUUGGAAACGAGAGAGUGCCCUCGGGAACGCAGUGACAGGUGGUGCAUGGCUGUCGUCAGCUCGUGUCGUGAGAUGUUGGGUUAAGUCCCGCAACGAGCGCAACCCACGUCUUUAGUUGCCAGCAUUUAGUUGGGCACUCUAGAGAGACCGCCGGUGAUAAACCGGAGGAAGGUGUGGAUGACGUCAAGUCAUCAUGCCCCUUACAUCCUGGGCUACACACGUACUACAAUGCUACGGACAAAGAGCAGCAAGUUCGCGAGGACAAGCAAAUCUCAUAAACCGUGGCUCAGUUCAGAUCGUAGGCUGCAACUCGCCUACGUGAAGGAGGAAUCGCUAGUAAUCGCAGGUCAGCAUACUGCGGUGAAUACGUUCCCGGGCCUUGUACACACCGCCCGUCACACCAUGGAAGUUGGCCACGCCCGAAGCCGUUACUCCAACCCUUGUGGAGGAGGACGUCGAAGGUGGGGCUGAUGACUGGGGUGAAGUCGUAACAAGGUAACCA
rnacentral:rRNA from 1 species